AGAGUUUGAUCCUGGCUCAGAACGUACGCUGGCGGCACGCCUUAUACAUGCAAGUCGAACGAAGUAGCAAUACUUAGUGGCAGACGGGUGAGUAACAUGUGGGUAUCUUCCCUUUGGUGAGGAAUAACACGAGGAAACUUGUGCUAAUACCUCAUAAGUCUUUACGGAGAAAGCUUUACGCGCCAAUGGAUGAGCCCGCACUUGAUUAGUUUGUUGGUGGGGUAAUGGCCUACCAAGACUGUGAUCAAUAGCUGAUUUGAGAGGAUGAUCAGCCACAUUGGGACUGAGACACGGCCCAAACUCCUACGGGAGGCAGCAGUAGGGAAUCUUGCACAAUGGAGGAAACUCUGAUGCAGCGAUGCCGCGUGAGUGAAGAAGGCCUUUGGGUUGUAAAGCUCUUUCGUCGGGGAAGAGAAUGACUGUACCCGAAUAAGAAGGUCCGGCUAACUUCGUGCCAGCAGCCGCGGUAAUACGAAGGGACCUAGCGUAGUUCGGAAUUACUGGGCUUAAAGAGUUCGUAGGUGGUUAAAAAAGUUGGUGGUGAAAUCCCAGAGCUUAACUCUGGAACUGCCAUCAAAACUUUUUAGCUAGAGUAUGAUAGAGGAAAGUAGAAUUUCUAGUGUAGAGGUGAAAUUCGUAGAUAUUAGAAAGAAUACCAAUUGCGAAGGCAGCUUUCUGGAUCAUUACUGACACUGAGGAACGAAAGCAUGGGUAGCGAAGAGGAUUAGAUACCCUCGUAGUCCAUGCCGUAAACGAUGUGUGUUAGAUGUUGGAAAUUUAUUUUCAGUAUCGCAGCGAAAGCAAUAAACACACCGCCUGGGGAGUACGACCGCAAGGGUUAAAACUCAAAUGAAAUUGACGGGGACCCGCAC
rnacentral:rRNA from 1 species